UGUAUAAAAACUUCACCCAUUUGUAUUGUUAAAAAGUGACUUGGCCAACGGAAUAACCCGAUAAUGAUACAUGACGUAUCAUUUGCACAUCAUGCUAAUGUAUAGGGACAAGUUUUUUAACAGUAGAAAUGAAUUGAAUUUUUAAUA
rnacentral:pre_miRNA from 1 species